GAAAAUCUGCAGAAGGGUUCACAAAUGGUAUAUAAAGAGGUUAGAACGGAUGUAGAAUGGGUGUAGAAAGACUCUUGAAAAGGUUUAGUAAGGGUGUAAGAAGAUGAAGAAAGAUGUAGAAAUCGUGUACAAAGUGUCUAUAAAGUGAGUACAAAGGGUUUACAAAUGUUGUAUAAAGUGUUUAUAAAGGGUGUAAAAAGGGUGUAUAAAGGGUGUACAAAGGGUGUAGACCCAUUCUACCUCUUUUUAAAAAAAUAUGUAGAAAGCCUGCAGAAGGGUUCAGAAAUGGUAUAUAAAGGGGUUAGAAAGGAUGUAAAAAGGGUGUUGAAAGACUCUUGAAAAGGUUUAGUAAGGGUGUAAGAAGAUGAAGAAAGAUAUAGAAAUCGUGUACAAAGUGUGUAUAAAGUGAGUACAAAGGGUUUACAAGUGUUUUAUAAAGGGUGUAUAAAGGGUGUACAAAAGGUGUAUAAAGGGUGCACAA
rnacentral:lncRNA from 1 species